rnacentral:tRNA from 1 species
GCGCCCGUAGCUCAAUGGGACAGAGCACUGGGCUUCGGACCCAGGGGUUGGGGGUUCGAAUCCUCCCGGGCGCGCCU